GGGCCCGUAGCUCAGCCUGGUUAGAGCGCACGCCUGAUAAGCGUGAGGUCGGUGGUUCAACUCCACCCGGGCCCA
rnacentral:tRNA from 2 species